AUGAUCUGUCGAUUUUGGUGGGCAAAGCAUGAGAAGACCAAGACUAUGCAUUGGCUAAGUUGGGAGCUCAUGACACAACCGAAAAAAACUGGCGGUCUCGGGUUCAGAGACUUGCAUGGGUUUAACUUGGCCAUGCUUGCUAAGCAGGCAUGGAGGAUACUCACUGAACCAGAGUCCCUCUGUGCACGGGUUUUGAAAGCCAGGUACUUCCCGAGCACCUCGAUCCUGGAGGCACAAGCUAACCCAGGGAUCUCUUACACUUGGAGAAGUAUUCUCAAAGGGGUUGAGUUGCUGAAAGAGGGACUUAUCUGCAGAAUCGGGGAUGGAACCAGUGUUAAAAUUUGGUCUGAUCCUUGGCUG
rnacentral:rRNA from 1 species